GGGCCCGUAGCUUAGCCAGGUGGAGCGUCUGGCUCAUAACCAGAUGGUCGCCGGUUCGAAUGGUGGCUUAUAGAAGUAAGUCGCCCAAAUAUCCGGCCGGGCCCA
rnacentral:tRNA from 1 species